AGUCGAGCGAUGAACCCUUCGGGGUGAAUUAGCGGCGGACGGGUGAGUAACACGUGGGUAACCUGCCGCAAAGAGGGGAAUAGCCUCCCGAAAGGAAGAUUAAUACCGCAUAAUAUGUUUUGAUCGCAUGAUCAAAAUAUCAAAGGAUUCUCUUCGGAGAUUCCACUUUGAGAUGGACCCGCGGCGCAUUAGCUAGUUGGGGAGGUAACGGCUCACCAAGGCAACGAUGCGUAGCCGACCUGAGAGGGUGAUCGGCCACAUUGGAACUGAGCCAUGAUCCAACUCUAUACGGGAGGCAGCAGUGGGGAAUAUCGCGCAAUGGGGGAAACCCUGACGCAGCAACGCCGCGUGAAUGAUGAAGGCCUUCGGGUUGUAAAGUUCUGUCUUCCGGGACGAUAAUGACGGUACCAGAGGAGGAAGCCACGGCUAACUACGUGCCAGCAGCCGCGGUAAUACGUAGGUGGCAAGCGUUGUCCGGAUUUACUGGGCGUAAAGGAUGCCUAGGCGGACAUUUAAGCCAGAUGUGAAAUACCCCAGCUUAACUUGGCUGCUGCAUUUGAAACUGGGUGUCUAGAGUGCCGGAGAGGUAAGUGGAAUUCCUAGUGUAGCGGUGAAAUGCCCACAGAUUAAGAAGAACACCAGUGGCGAAAGCGACUUACUGGACUGUAACUGAC
rnacentral:rRNA from 1 species